AUUAAGUAAUUAAAAAUAAUCCACAAAAAUUAAAUUUAAAAAAAACCGAAGCAUGCCUAACAAAGAAGAACAGAACAUUAGACAGAAAAAGUAUGAGUCCAUACCAUUGGAGCAUUUCCUCCCCUGUUGCAGUGGAA